AUAUGCCUGUGCCACAGUACAGAUAGAACCAAAGAUUCUAGAGCCCCAAAUCUAGAAUGUCUGGCCAGAAUCCUUCACAGCGGCAGCGUGGUUCUUCAAAGAUGCGGUAACCAUAGGUUUCCCUGGAACGCGUGGUCGUAUCUAUGGAUACAGCAGGGAAAUGAGACUACUGAAUUUGAUGCACAGGAAGGAGGGGGAGACGCGAUGGACAGAGGUAAUGAGUUAGGACCGAGACGUAAUCUUAAAACGAAGACAAGCUCGGUCAAUUUGUCUGGGCGAGAGGUGGACCUGGUGUGUGAGGCGGUAACGGACUCGGACUCGGACUCGGAUCCGCUUGGGAGGCACAAUCGAAGCAAGAAGAAAGGGCUGGAGAUGGAGAGACCUCGGUGUCACCCAGAUAAUAGCUUUGCGUUGGCCAGAGAGCGUCUUAUCUCCUUAAAAGAGUCCAUAUCAGGAGAUGAAUGUGUGUACACGGAGAAGAUUAGACAGCAGUAUGCCGAAAUAAAGAAGGUGGAAGAAAUCAUAAACGAUCAGAGAAAGAAAAUUGCGGCUGUGCGUCAAGGAAUAGAGCAGGUCAGAUUUAGAAACAGUGAAGAACGGAUGCAGGAGCUGCAGAACAGUAGCAGGCCUGAUAAUGCCGAGGUCAAGGACAGCCAGGGGCACAAGACCCCUCCCCAAACUAAGCGAGAGCACCAAGCAGCUUUGGGAAUGAUGGAGGCUCAUCUUGAUAAGAUGGAGGGAGUGUUACUUGGUCACAAAAAAAGACUGGAUGAAAUGCGUCUUGAGAAACGUCGGGAUUUUUUGAACAAGCAGCAAAAGUGGAGGCAGAGGAUGUUGGCCAUGCAGGCGGAAAAAUACUAUCCUAAACCAGAGGAGGGAUAGCCCAGAGGGGAAUAGAGGGGCCAAGCACAAAGUGCAUUUACCAAAGUGUUUACCUACAGUUUUGCUAUAUUUUAAUGGGUUUUUGUACAGAAAUAAAGACUUUUGAUGCACCGUUUCCAUGACAUUGUUGUUCUGCCCCUGGCUUAUUUCUUGCAACUGUUACACAGUGACAAGUGACAAAUUGGAGAAUUUCGUCCAUCGUUGUGAAAAAGUCAAGUCAAGCGAACAUUUAAUCCAAUAGAAACUGUAAUUACAGUCAAGUGUGACAGUCCCUUAAUUUGUUGCAGCCCAUUCAUCCAUCAAAUGGUCAAAAUGGUGCUGAUUGAAAAAAGAAAAACAUUGGGCUGUGAAGGUGAGGUAGAAGUGGGUUUUGAAGCUUUGAAGUUGGGUGUGUGGAUAUUGAAGUGUUGGGGUAAAAAAAGGGGGUGAUUUAAAAUGAUAAAAAGCAAAAACACUGCCCUGCAACUUAUGUACAUGUACUGUUUGAAGAG
ensembl:lncRNA